GAACGCUGGCGGCGUGCCUAAUACAUGCAAGUCGAGCGGAUCUUUAGAAGCUUGCUUCUAAAGAUUAGCGGCGGACGGGUGAGUAACACGUGGGCAACCUGCCUGUAAGACUGGGAUAACUUCGGGAAACCGAGGCUAAUACCAGAUAAUCCUUUUCCUCACAUGAGGGAAAGCUGAAAGACGGCAUCACGCUGUCACUUACAGAUGGGCCCGCGGCGCAUUAGCUAGUUGGUGAGGUAACAGCUCACCAAGGCGACGAUGCGUAGCCGACCUGAGAGGGUGAUCGGCCACACUGGGACUGAGACACGGCCCAUANUCUUACGGGAGGCAGCAGUAGGGAAUCUUCCGCAAUGGACGAAAGUCUGACGGAGCAACGCCGCGUGAACGACGANCCGCCUUCGGGUCGUAAAGUUCUGUUGU
rnacentral:rRNA from 1 species